rnacentral:tRNA from 1 species
CAGCACAUUGGAUAGGGCGUUGCACUUCUAAUUCAAAGGUCAUGGGUUCGAAUCCCAUCUAGA